AUUGAACGCUGGCGGCAGGCCUAACACAUGCAAGUCGAAUGGUAACAGGAAACAGCUUGCUGUUUCGCUGACGAGUGGCGGACGGGUGAGUAAUGUCUGGGAAACUGCCUGAUGGAGGGGGAUAACUACUGGAAACGGUAGCUAAUACCGCAUAACGUCGCAAGACCAAAGAGGGGGACCUUCGGGCCUCUUGCCAUCAGAUGUGCCCAGAUGGGAUUAGCUAGUAGGUGGGGUAACGGCUCACCUAGGCGACGAUCCCUAGCUGGUCUGAGAGGAUGACCAGCCACACUGGAACUGAGACACGGUCCAGACUCCUACGGGAGGCAGCAGUGGGGAAUAUUGCACAAUGGGCGCAAGCCUGAUGCAGCCAUGCCGCGUGUAUGAAGAAGGCCUUCGGGUUGUAAAGUACUUUCAGCGGGGAGGAAGGGAGUAAAGUUAAUACCUUUGCUCAUCGACGUUACCCGCAGAAGAAGCACCGGCUAACUCCGUG
rnacentral:rRNA from 1 species